AUUGAACGCUGGCGGCAGGCCUAACACAUGCAAGUCGAACGAGUGGCGGACGGGUGAGUAAUGUCUGGGAAACUGCCUGAUGGAGGGGGAUAACUACUGGAAACGGUAGCUAAUACCGCAUACUAUCAGAUGUGCCCUCAGGGGAUUAGCUUGUUGGUGGGGUAACGGCUCACCAAGGCGACGAUCCCUAGCUGGUCUGAGAGGAUGACCAGCCAAACUGGAACUGAGACACGGACGAGACUCCUACGGGAGGCAGAAGUGGGGAAUAUUGCACAAGGGGGGAAAGCCUGAUGCAGAAAUGCCGCGGGUAUGAAGAAGGCCUUCGGGUUGUAAAGUACUUUCAGCGGGGAGGCGGGAAGCGAAGAAGAAGCACCGGCUAACUCCGUGCCAGCAGCCGCGGUAAUAG
rnacentral:rRNA from 1 species